GCCGCCAUCUUCUCGCGCCUAACGUUUCGUAUGGUUUUGUUCUCUGCAAUCCGCGCACACAGCGCAUCGGUGGCUGCACGUCUGCUCGGCGUCGCAAUGCGGCCUGCGUCAUUUUCUGGUGCUCGCGCAAUCGGUGUGAAACAUGUCGCAUCUGAAAUGUUUGAUAGAAGUGCUUCACGUCCAAGUCAAGCCGCCGUACGGGUGCAUGACUGUGCGCCCCGUUCUCGGAAGCGUCGACGGGUUUCCGGCAUGCGGAUUUCAGCGUUUGGACUCGACUUUUCUUGAGGAUGUCGAUCGACCUUGGGCCUGGUGACAGCACACCCGACAUCGCCAAAGUUCAGCCUAUCAGUUGAGUGCCCCCGAAUGGACCAUCAACAUCGGAAAAUGAAGCAGAGCCAGGGGGAAAAGGUUCAGGUAACACUGCAUUAAGUAUGGUGGCCCAGACGUGUAUGCAAGCAACCUCCUUCAUGUGGACCAAGAACUACUCUGCAGUGUCUCACAGACUUCCAUGCGAAGCCCUCAACAUUCUCGUCUCAGUGGAAUGGCUGCUCAUCUAUCUGUGUGUCCAUCACCAAGAUGGCCAGUUGUAAAGCUCCUGUACCCGUUUAAGACAGCUUAAUGAUUUUUUUUAUUUAGUUUUCAUGGUUGGCCGUAGAAUCUUAACAUUUUUGAUGUUUCUAACGUUUUUACCUGGCCCAAAGUGGUGCAAUAACUUUAAACCAGUGUAAUGUAUUUAAGUGAUGCUCACUCUAAUGCCUAUCUGGUUUUGUUUGUGUUUAAGAAAUUUGAAUGUCUGAUGACGUAACAGCAUUUAAACUUGUCAUCGUGGCUCUUUUCAGUGAGCUGCUAGGAAAUAAGAUGCAAAACUUAUCACACGCCAGUUGUAGCAUUUUUGUUUUCAAGACUAAAGUAUACAUGUUUCAAACGAUGGAAAGUGGGGAAAAAAAGCCUCAAGAACAUAAUCAUCCUAGGAUUGUCAUGUCCUUACAACUCUGCAAUAACUAAUGCCUCAUACAUCUUGGGAGCACAUUGGUCGCAAUGCCUACAGGUAUACUUGAUAAGAGAAUAGCUUGCACUCAGAUUUGCCAAGCAGUUGAUGGCUGAUAGCUUUUGUUUGUCGUCUUCAUGUUACUACUAUGUAUUCAAUAUUCAUUUACAUGUGCUGCGGUUUUUUGCAG